rnacentral:rRNA from 1 species
AGAGUUUGAUCAUGGCUCAGAUUGAACGCUAGCGGGAUGCCUUACACAUGCAAGUCGAACGGCAGCACGGACUUCGGUCUGGUGGCGAGUGGCGAACGGGUGAGUAAUGUAUCGGAACGUGCCUAGUAGCGGGGGAUAACUACGCGAAAGCGUAGCUAAUACCGCAUACGCCCUUCGGGGGAAAGCAGGGGAUCGUAAGACCUUGCACUAUUAGAGCGGCCGAUAUCGGAUUAGCUAGUUGGUGGGGUAACGGCUCACCAAGGCGACGAUCCGUAGCUGGUUUGAGAGGACGACCAGCCACACUGGGACUGAGACACGGCCCAGACUCCUACGGGAGGCAGCAGUGGGGAAUUUUGGACAAUGGGGGAAACCCUGAUCCAGCCAUCCCGCGUGUGCGAUGAAGGCCUUCGGGUUGUAAAGCACUUUUGGCAGGAAAGAAACGUCCCGGGAUAAUACCCCGGGAAACUGACGGUACCUGCAGAAUAAGCACCGGCUAACUACGUGCCAGCAGCCGCGGUAAUACGUAGGGUGCAAGCGUUAAUCGGAAUUACUGGGCGUAAAGCGUGCGCAGGCGGUUCGGAAAGAAAGAUGUGAAAUCCCAGAGCUUAACUUUGGAACUGCAUUUUUAACUACCGAGCUAGAGUGUGUCAGAGGGAGGUGGAAUUCCGCGUGUAGCAGUGAAAUGCGUAGAUAUGCGGAGGAACACCGAUGGCGAAGGCAGCCUCCUGGGAUAACACUGACGCUCAUGCACGAAAGC